AUUGAACGCUGGCGGCAGGCCUAACACAUGCAAGUCGAACGAGUGGCGGACGGGUGAGUAAUGUAUGGGAAACUGCCCGAUAGAGGGGGAUAACUACUGGAAACGGUAGCUAAUACCGCAUACUAUCGGAUGAACCCAGAUGGGAUUAGCUAGUAGGUGGGGUAACGGCUCACCUAGGCGACGAUCCCUAGCUGGUCUGAGAGGAUGAUCAGCCACACUGGAACUGAGACACGGCCCAGACUCCUACGGGAGGCAGCAGUGGGGAAUAUUGCACAAUGGGCGCAAGCCUGAUGCAGCCAUGCCGCGUGUAUGAAGAAGGCCUUAGGGUUGUAAAGUACUUUCAGCGGGGAGGCGUUACCCGCAGAAGAAGCACCGGCUAACUCCGUGCCAGCAGCCGCGGUAAUUC
rnacentral:rRNA from 1 species